AAUAAAGUUUGUGCUGAUAUGGAAAACGAAUUCUUACAGUAGAAGGCAGAAAUAAAGAGUUAAUCAAUGAAUAUAACCACUUAAGAGAACAAAUGUGUAAAUAUGAAAAUGAGAAAGCAGAAAGAGAGAUACAAGCAGCAUUCCAAGAGAACUUAGAACAAUUAAGAGAAAUAACAAUGCUUCCCUAAGAAACCAAAUGGAGCAACGAAUUGGAGAUCUGGAAACUGAAAUCUCCAAAAUGAAAAGCUCAAGUCAAGAGUCUGCUGAGGCAAGCUAGCGAGAUACAGACAGCUUUAUUCUGAAGCAUUAAAAAGCACAAAAUCCUUGUCAGACAAAUUAGCCAGAAACAGUGAGAGGCUAACUGAGGUGAGUCAUCAACUCCAGAAAGAAAAACAAAAGAAUGAAAUUUUAAUCACCAGUUUUACUGCAAAUCCAGUUCUGGAGCCACCACAUGUUGCAAAUAUCAGUACCAAUAUGUUCCUCAGGAGAAGUCUUAUUUCCAGAGGAAAUUUAGGAUUUUCUACUAGAAUUACAUGUCUUCAGAAAGCAGCUUGCGGCCUACUUGGCAAGGGUUAGUCAUUUAGAAUUUUUUUCUUCCUUUAUGUCAAAGAUAUAAUGUAAAAUAUUCAUCUUAGUGAAAUUUCCUGCUUUAUUAUUUUUGAAUGUGUCAUUGAUUUUUGUGAUCUAUUAAAAUGAAGGUAGUCCUUAUACCAAAUGAAAAUUUAAAAUGCUAGAUAAUGAGUUUUAUUUUUUUUAGGCCUAUGACAAUCAUAUUUCCUAAUCUGAUAACUUCUCAAUUAUACCUAUACCUGGUUUUAUAAAAUUUAUGUAACCUUGACAAAUGGCAUUCAUAUAAGGAUUCUUUAAAUUGAAUACUAUUUUCUCGCCAACCAAUAUUUAAAGAGGUUUUAUUUCCUCCGAUUUAUUUUUCUCAUGAUAAUGACUUAAAGCACAGUCUUUCUUUGAUUCUUCUUUUUCAGAAUUUCUUUUUAAAAAAACACAUGCAUAAACACAAAAAAAACCACACGCAUAUAAACACCCUCUCUUUUUUUAGAGUAUCCUAGAAAAAUCUUUUGCAAAGCAAUCUCAUGUGAUAUGGAUAAUUAUCUUUAGCUUUUUAAUUCAUAUUUACAUACAGGUUUUCUUAAACUAGGUAUAUAACCUUAAGAGAUAUUGUGUAUCUAUUGCCUCUUUCUCUUAAAAGAUGCCCAUUUCUAAGCACCUCCCAGCAUUGACACAAUAAAUGUAAUGCAGUCAACA
rnacentral:lncRNA from 1 species